rnacentral:rRNA from 1 species
UACGAAGGGGGCUAGCGUUGCUCGGAUUUACUGGGCGUAAAGGGCGCGUAGGCGGACAGUUUAGUCAGAGGUGAAAGCCCAGGGCUCAACCUUGGAAUUGCCUUUGAUACUGGCUGUCUUGAGUACGGGAGAGGUGAGUGGAACUCCGAGUGUAGAGGUGAAAUUCGUAGAUAUUCGCAAGAACACCAGUGGCGAAGGCGGCUCACUGGCCCGGAACUGACGCUGAGGUGCGAAAGCGUGGGGAGCAAACAGG